CGAAUUGCAUAUUACUACUCAAACAAUGCAAGUAUGAUUACAUAACAUCUGCAGCAAGUCGUACUUCAACGUUUGGUUCCGACGCCGGCCGUUAACGGCAUCGAAAAAAGGAGGAAGAGAGAGCAACAAAUUCUGAAGCCUGAAAAGGGGGGAAGGAUUCAAGGAAUAUGGGUAGUCUAAGGCAGAGGCAGCUCACAAGCUCAGUCAAGUCAGGGCAGCUGCCAAGAGAGAAGGUUGGUCGUCUGUUUGUUUCUGAGAUUUCGGUCUCAGGUUGCCACGCAGUCACGGUCUGUGGUGCACAGUAUAUAGGAAACCGUGCUCAUCCAAAGAUCGUUCGAUGGCUUGGGAAGUUGCCCACGACUCAACAGCAAAACUAAAAAGCGUGUGAAGAAUAGAAACGUGAUUUGUCCAAAGGCCAAUUUCGUUAAACCAGGCCUGCCCUCCAGCAGUUACGCAACAGCCAAGGCUGCCCUAUCCGUUUUGAGCCAUGGAGGUGAACAAAAACAAGACGCCGAAGCCAAAUCCUAGACUUAACUCAAACUUUCUUUCUGUCCUUAUAUUCUGGUGGGUCAACCCGUUUAUGGGUGUUGGAGCCAAGAAAGAUCUUGAAGUUACCGACCUGUACGAUGUUAUGCCAGGAGACAAUUCGGAAGAGCUUGGACUGAAAUUGCAAAGGGAGUGGCAUAACCAAAUAGCAAAAUGUAAGAAAGAUGGAAACAAAAGAAAAAAGAUCAAGCCUAGCCUUACGAAAGCUUUGGUCCGAACAUUUGGAAUCAAAUUUCUACUGGUGGGCUUUCUAGCGUUUUUGGAAGAAUGUGUAUUUAAGAUUGGUCAACCCCUUUGUCUGGGCCAACUGGUUCACUACUUUGGCAGUGAAAACCAGACAAUAUCCACCACGGAAGCUUAUCUUUAUGCGACUGGGCUGGUGUUGGGUUCCGUUCUGUAUACCAUGACUCAUCACCCGUAUUUUUUUGCAUGCCAACAUACCGGAAUGCGAAUCAGAGUUGCAGCGUGUUCUCUUGUUUAUAAAAAGUGCCUGCUGCUCAGCCAAAAGGCUCUGGGACAAACAACCAUUGGGCAAAUGGUCAACAUCAUGUCCAAUGACGUCAAUCGCUACGAUUUUUCAGUCAUCUUUCUUCAUUAUCUUUGGGUUGGACCGCUGCAGACAAUAAUUAGUAUGGUUAUUCUGCUUCACGUCAUCGGACCUUCUUGCUUGGUCGGGCUUGCAGUAUUGAUUCUAUUCGUCCCUUUGCAAAGUUGGAUGGGUAAAGUGUUUUCAAUGCUCCGACUGGAAACUGCGAAACGUACAGACGAAAGGAUAAGAACGAUGAACGAGAUUAUUUCCGCGAUGAGGGUGAUUAAAAUGUACACCUGGGAGAAGCCUUUUGCCAAACUGAUUUCCAAGUGCCGCCGAAAGGAGAUAAAUGUUAUUAAGCGGACGAAUCACUUCCGCGCACUCAACAUGAGUCUCUUCUUUACGUCCUCGAAACUCAUUAUAUUUUUAACUUUCUUGGUAUUUAUCUUUACCGGCAACCAUUUAACUGCUGAAAAGGUUUUUGUGACUGUUUCCCUGUUCAAUAAUAUUCGCCUUAUUAUGACAUUGUUUUUCCCCGGUGCGAUAACUAUGGCGGCAGAAGCUAGAGUCUCUACUAAGCGUAUCGAAAAUUUCUUAUUGUUGGAUGAGAUUGAAAAAAAUGCUCAGGCAAAAGUGCACCCAGCAUUAUCCGAUUGUCUGGUUGAAUUGAAUCAAUUGACAGUCAAGUGGCCAGCUGCUGGAGAGAAAGAAGACAAUACGUUGACGAAUAUUUCUUUCACCAUCCGUCCUGGCCAGGUGUUUGCCAUCGUUGGUCAAGUUGGGUCUGGCAAGAGCUCGCUGUUGAAUGUCCUUCUCGGCGAGCUUUCUCCGUCAACGGGAACCUGUCGAGUUGCGGGGAAGAUCGCUUACGCUUCUCAAGAAUCUUGGAUCUUCUCUGGAACGGUGCGUCAGAAUAUUUUGUGUGGAUUGGAGUACGAUCUCAAACGCUACAAAAAAGUGAUCAAAGCCUGUGCAUUGGAUAAGGAUUUUAGCCUCUUCCCUAACGGUGACCAGACUGCAGUGGGCGAGCGGGGUGUCUCGCUUAGUGGCGGUCAGAAGGCGCGAGUUAAUCUUGCCCGAUCCCUUUACGUCGAUGCCGAUAUUUACCUAAUGGACGACCCUCUUAGUGCAGUAGACACUCAUGUAGGACGCCACCUGUUCGACAAAGCCAUUAAUGGUUACCUGCGUGACAAAAUACGAGUGUUAGUCACUCACCAACUUCAGUACUUGAAAGAUGUAGACCAGAUUCUCAUUCUCAAAGCGGGUCGUGUUGAAGCGAUGGGAUCCUACAAGGAAAUUAGUAAUAGUGGGUUGGAUAUUGCGAAAACAAUAGAAGAUGAAGAGCCAGAACUAGAGGCAGAUAACUUGACGCGGUCUUUCUCUGAAUGUGACAUUGACGGUUCGAUUUCAAGGUGUGGGUCUAUUUCGAACUCAAUACGGCAACGUGUGGGAUCUGUCACAUCAAGGUCUUCAGUGAAAGAGGUCUGGCUUUCACUUGAUUAACUGCGUUGUAACAAGUAAUUGAAUUUUCGAUUCGACCUAGAAAAAGAGGAGAAACCAACGUUUGCGGAAGAAUCUCGCUCCUCUGGUAGUGUGUCUCCUAAAGUCUAUUGGGAAUACUUUCGGUCGGGUGGCAGCUGCAUGUCACUCUUCACAAUGACCGUCACUUGCAUCAUCACUCAAGUCCUUUUCAGUGGAUCCGAUUAUUGGCUGACCUUGUGGACGAAUGCUGAAGAACUUCGUGCUACGCACAGCAAUGUAACGGAAAAUUCGACAUACACACCUGUUACUGAAAACGGUUUCUUUAACGUCACAUCCGGCACGGAAGAAACUGCUGUUUUUUCUGGUGCAUGGUGGAAGAAUCCCGACACGUACACGGGCGUAUACGUUUUUACCAUCCUCAUUAUUUGUGUUUUCAUCUUUUCGUUUAUUCGCACUAUCCAUUACUUCGUGAUGUGCAUGAUCUCGUCGAUCAACUUACACAAUCGCAUGUUCCAGUCGGUUAUCCGCACACCUCUUCUUUUCUUCGAUCAAAAUCCAGUCGGACGUGUUUUGAAUCGUUUUGCCAAAGAUAUCGGAUCCGUGGACGAGAUGUUACCUUCCGCCUUCUUCGACGUUAUUACUAUUGCUCUGACUGCUGUUGGUAUUCUGUUCCUGGUUGGCCUAGUCAACCCUUGGUUAUUAUUACCAAUUCUAUUUCUUUCCAUCGUUUUUGUCAAUCUUCGGCAAUUCUACUUGAAAACAGCUCGCGAUGUGAAGCGUCUCGAAGCUACCACUCGGAGUCCCGUUUUUACCCACUUGUCCUCAUCAUUGGUUGGCCUAACCACCUUGAGAGCCCAUCGAUGUGAAGUGAUCUUCCAAACAAUCUUCGAUGAAUGCCAAGAUGUUCACACCUCUGCUUGGUACAUGUUUUUGUCGACCACUCGAUGGUUUGGCAUUUGGCUGGAUUGGAUUUGCGUCAUCUAUGUUGGCUGUGUUACCUACGCCUGCUUGGCACUACGUGAUUCUAUGACCGGAAGUGAAGCUGGGCUUGCGAUAUCCUCCGCAAUGGCCUUGACGGGUAUGUUCCAGUGGGGUGUAAGACAAUCAGCAGAAGUGGAAAACCAAAUGACGUCCGUUGAACGUGUUAUUGACUAUAGCAAAUUGCCCUCGGAGGCUCCCCUAGAUUCGGCCCCAGGAAAGAAACCUCCAGACACGUGGCCACUGAGUGGGACUAUCCAAUUUGAUGGGAUGUCUCUUCGUUAUAUUGAAGCUGACCAACCUGUUUUGAAAAGCAUCACUUGUUUAAUUCGAGCAAAUGAGAAGAUUGGCAUUGUCGGUCGAACGGGAGCUGGUAAAUCAUCACUUAUUGCAGCUUUGUUUCGAUUAGCAGAGCCGGACGGCCACAUUAUAAUUGAUGGCAUCGACAGUAAAUCGAUCGGUCUUCAUGACUUACGAUCGAAGAUAGCCAUCAUUCCACAAGAUCCCGUUUUGUUUUCGGGUUCACUUAGGAAAAAUUUGGAUCCCUUCGGUCUUCACAGUGACGAUGCCCUCUGGAACGCUCUGGAAGGGGCUAAACUGAAGGAGAUGGUUAAGGAUCUAUCCGCCGGUCUAGAAGCAAAUAUGACUGAAGGAGGAGCUAACUUUUCCGUUGGUCAAAGACAGCUCAUCUGUUUGGCACGAGCUAUUCUUAGACAAAAUCGUAUCCUUGUUUUGGACGAAGCCACAGCUAACGUCGAUCAAAAAACGGAUUCCCUUAUCCAGCUAACGAUCCGAGAGAGGUUCCGAGAUUGUACUGUCUUGACGAUUGCCCAUCGUUUGAAUACAAUCAUGGAUUCUGACAGAAUCAUGUUACUUGAUGCUGGCUAUCUAAAGGAAUUUGGUGAGCCUGCUAUUCUUUUGGAAAAUCCCAAAAGCAUGUUUUAUAGCUUAGUAGAACAAACUGGUCCUAUCGUUGCUACUCACUUAACUGAAUUGGCUAAACAGGCUGCUGAACAAAGGCGCAGUAAGGGUACAAACACAGCGGAUUUAACUAUGGAAACUAAUGGGAAUACCAUCCGUCACCAGUUAUGUCCGAAAGCUUCUCAAGAACAAGGGUUAGAUGAAUCAGAGUUCGAAACGGAAAAGUUGAAAAUUAAAAAUUAUAACGUACACUCGUUAUCGGUGUCUUCCUAGAACAAUUUGUUCGUUAAAAACUGCCAUUCUGUUGUUUAUGAUGAAUGCAUAAUGGAAAAUAGAUCUAAAUACAAUUAAGCUCGGUUUUGAAA